AUUGAACGCUGGCGGCAGGCCUAACACAUGCAAGUCGAGCGGUAACACAGGGAGCUUGCUCCUGGGUGACGAGCGGCGGACGGGUGAGUAAUGUCUGGGAAACUGCCUGAUGGAGGGGGAUAACUACUGGAAACGGUAGCUAAUACCGCAUAACGUCGCAAGACCAAAGAGGGGGACCUUCGGGCCUCUUGCCAUCAGAUGUGCCCAGAUGGGAUUAGCUAGUAGGUGGGGUGACGGCUCACCUGGGCGACGAUCCCUAGCUGGGCUGAGAGGAUGACCAGCCACCCUGGAACUGAGACACGGUCCAGACUCCUACGGGAGGCAGCAGUGGGGAAUAUUGCACAAUGGGCGCAAGCCUGAUGCAGCCAUGCCGCGUGUAUGAAGAAGGCCUUCGGGUUGUAAAGUACUUUCAGCGGGGAGGAAGGCGAUAAGGUUAAUAACCUUGUCGAUUGACGUUACCCGCAGAAGAAGCACCGGCUAACUCCGUGCCAGCCGCCGCAUAACAC
rnacentral:rRNA from 1 species